rnacentral:lncRNA from 1 species
CAUAUCUCUGCUAUAAACUCAAUCUGCCCCAGGGCCUUUGAACACACUAGCCUUUAAAGCCAGUUCGGUGGGUCGGCUAGAAAGCUGCAUGUGUGGCAAGCUCAGAUUGUCUUUUCAGGCCACUUGUUCCAGUUCUCAAGUGCAUGUCACCAUUUAGAAGAUAAGUCUCCAUCAGGUACUGUCCAGUGCAGAGACAGCACCACGGCUGAGGAUGGCCGGACCAUUACAAAAGGAACCCACAGAGAAGUAGAGGCACCAGCCAAAAGCAAUGUUAACCACAAUCACUGUGAUUGCUAUUUUUGGUUGUCAACUUGACUACAUCUGGAAUCAACUAAAACCCAAUGGCUUGGCACAACUGUGAGGGACUUUUUUUUCUUAAGUAAAUCCUUUGAGCUCUGGAUCUUUGAGGUGGGAAGAUACACCUUUAAUGGAGGUCACACUUUCUGCUGGCAGCCUACAAAAAGGAGAUGAAGAAGGAAAUUUUGCUGUUGUUGUUAGCAAAUCCAUUCCUUCACUGGCACUGAAGCCGGCUUCUUCAGGAUUCUGGUAUGUAAUGCUGAAGACCAGCUGAGACAUUCAACCUUUGUGAACUGAACUGAAUUCUUCCAUUGGUAGACA